UACGGAGGGAGCUAGCGUUGUUCGGAAUUACUGGGCGUAAAGCGCGCGUAGGCGGCUUUGUAAGUUAGAGGUGAAAGCCCGGAGCUCAACUCCGGAACUGCCUUUAAAAACUGCAUCGCUUGAAUCCAGGAGAGGUGAGUGGAAUUCCGAGUGUAGAGGUGAAAUUCGUAGAUAUUCGGAAGAACACCAGUGGCGAAGGCGGCUCACUGGACUGGUAUUGACGCUGAGGUGCGAAAAGCGUGGGGGAGCAAACAGG
rnacentral:rRNA from 1 species